UGGCUGCAAGGAAAUCUAAGAAAUGGGUACUGUGGGGGAGAAAAAUUUAUGUCUGGGUUUCUAAACCAAAGGAAGAAUUUAGUGGUAACAGUAGGUGAAGUUGGGAAAUAUUGGGUAGAAAUGUGGAGGAAUUAGAAAAUAAUACAGUGCAGGCAAUGGUAAUAUAGGAGAAAACGUAAUAGGCAGAGUUUGAGUGUGGUACACGAAAGUUUAGUGGUAACGUUUUCUAUUUGUAGGUGUGAGUUUCAAAUUUUGCUUACUCAGCAUGUGGAGCUCAUUAUGUUUAUAUUUCAGAAAUGGUGAAAUAAGAAGAAGACUCUGGUUUGUAGGAUUUAUGUCUCCAAGCAUAGAUGCGCAGAGGCGUUUAUCCACUACCAAAAAACCAGACUCCUUCUAGAACCAUAGAAGCAUAGAUAUACUUAAUUUUAAAUACAACAGGGAUAAGUUUACUCUUGUAUGUAGAUUUUUCAAAAAUUCUUUAUUUGUUACGACUUUAUGGAUAGGAGAAGAUAUAACGUGGUUGCUUGAAAGUUUUGUUGUACAAGAAUUACUAUGUAAAGUUUUAAAAUGAAUUAUAUUCAGAUAUAUUAGUUGUUAUAUGAGAUGUAGAUGUAUUAUCUGGGUAUGGAAAAUGAUGGACAACUCUAAAUUUGGCACGGGUUGUUAUAGUUAGUAUCUGAGUGAACGUUCCUAGGACAACCCUUGUUAUGUGAGGCUUAGGAUUUCAUGAGGAUUAAGAAGCUAGUUAAUACAAAUUUUAGGGGGAAACAUAAGGAUAAGGUUUUUUAAGAAUUAAAACAUUGAUGCAUGUAAAGAGAUAGGGAUAAUUGGAUGAGAGUAUAGUGCUUCGAAGUUCUAAAGGUAGGGCAUAAUUAAAUUUAGAUAUGUUAGAUGUAGGAAUUAAGGUAGAUAUGUGAUAUAAUUGAAUUUUACAGAUACUUUCCUAUUUUAUUUGAGUUAAUUUUGAUUAAUUUUUACCACAAACAUUGUUGGAUUUUUUUUGGCACUUUUCAGGAAUGAUUUUGGGACCUGGAAGCAAAUUAGAGUGGAUUGGAAUAAGAUUUGAGCGAAAAAGGGUUGAAACAUGAAGAUAUGGGAGACAUGGCCAUAACACACGGUUAUGUGUUACGAAGCUAGUGUUUAUGUUUCUGAGGAGGAGUGAGACACGGCGAUGUUCUUGAAAGACACGAUUGUGUGCCCUAUACUGAGUUAACACACGACCAUGUGUUAAGAAGGCAACGUUUCUAUUUCGCUCAGUGAAAGAGACACAGUCGUGUGUUUGGGAAACAUGGCCGUGUCAUCUCUAAAAACUGAAAAUUGACGUAAUUUCGAGAAAGACAUGGUUAUGUGUCAAUUUGACACCGCUGUGGGACGUGCCAGAUCAGAAUAUUAGGUAUUGAAUGAUAUAAAAAGAUGAGGAGCACAAAAAAAAAGGAGACCGAAGAGGAGGAGAAAAGAGAAGACAGUUGCAAACAUCAAACACUUCUUCUAGUAAGUUAUUCCUAAUCAUAGUAGUGUAGUGGAAGCGUGGGAGACCCAUAACAGAUAACAUAAAAAAAACACUUUCCAAACCAACAAAGGAAUAAUGGAUAAUGCGACAACCAAAUGAACUAUAUCAUAGGACCAUAUCUAAGAAUAGUUAUAUAAAACCCUUAGAAGCUAUAUAGUAUCCAACUAUGGAAGGACUUAAAUCGGUAGAGAGUAUAAACAAUGUUAGUCGAGCUAGUAAAAGACCUUUUCUAUCAAAGAAUCUCAAUGAUUUUUAGUAACAAAGACGUAUUCCAUAACUCAUUGUGUAAAUUUUAUAGGACUUAAGGAGAACCUGAUUGAGUACUAAAGUGGGUUACGAAUCAUUCAGAUUGUGAUAAAUUUAGAAGAGUAAUCUGACUUCACUAAGAAUAAAUUAUUUAGAUACUAAAUCAAUUUAGUAAAGAGGAAAAGGUUUUGACACAAAAACAAUUUUUAAGAUUCCUAAGAAAAAAAAUAACAUACCUGAGGUAUACUCUAAUAGGCUAUCAGGGAGAGAGCUUUGGUCUUGACCUUCAUAUCAACUAGAGAACUAAAAGUCGUUAGGAAACUUAGGAGUAGGUCCCCUAAUGCGGAAACAUACACUCAAAGCCUACCUGACAUUCUAGCCAAACCCCUAAACCAUAUAUAAACUCAAUGAAAUUUAAUAACGCAGGAUGAAAGGGACUACCUUAAAAAAACCAAAUGAUUAUUUCUUUGACUUUGUCAUACAUGUCAAGCCCCUGGGACUUUCAACACAAUAGCAGAAAAAACAACUUUUUUUAGUGAUAUUAUCAACCUUGGAAAGCUGGAGAUUGACCAAAGUGCACUUUUAGAAAGGGGUAAAAACUAUUAUGAUGAGAAGGAGAAAGUAGAACACAUUCUAAUGAGACCCUUAUAUAAUGUUAGAGACCCAUAGACAUAAGCUCCCUAGUUCACGAGUUGAAAAUUUUAAAGGAUCUAAAUUAAGUCAUUCUCAAAGAAAUUGACCCUAUGAAAUUUGAAAAUAGACAAGGAACAACAAUUUGAAAACUAAUAAUAUUUUUCAAAUUAUUCAUGUACUAAUUUCCACAAAAAAAAAAAGAAAUGAGAAUCUAAAUAGCUUUAUUUAGACAUAUGAACGCCAGGAAAGAUGUAAACAUAUUAUGGCGUUGAGGUUACUUAGGUAAUCAAGGAUUUAAUCUUAUGGCUAAUAGAGAAUGCUAUUAUACUAUUAAAGGACUCUUUAUUAUGAUAAUCAAAUAAAGGUAUGAUAUCUCGUGAUAGUGUUGGAUGGUGAUGACAAAUGCAUAAAUUAUUGUUGGAAAAUAUUAGGCUAUAAUGAAUUUUAAGGUUCAACAUAAUCUAGAAUAGUAGUCUUUUAUUAAGAUUAAAGAUUUCUUUUAAGAGAUCUAUACUGAAACACUAUCAAAUCUCUUUAGGUUCUAAAACCUUUGAGAAUGGAAGGCCAAUUCUUAGUGAGUAUAUAAUAUACAUUUAUGUUGGGAGAUAAGAAAGCAGAUAUCACAAUUUAAAGUGAUUAAACCGUUAGAAAUACUAUGACAACUCUAUUCCGUAAAAAAAACCACAUAAGAACCAGAAGAGGUAAUGAAAGACAAAUAUCCUCAUCUGUUAUAAUUUCCUGACAAGCUCAAAUUUGUAGGACCAACUUUUUUAAGGGGAGAGAUUAUAACAUCUCGCAUAAAUAG
rnacentral:lncRNA from 1 species